rnacentral:rRNA from 1 species
UACGGGGGGGACAAGCGUUGUUCGGAAUUACUGGGCGUAAAGGGCUCGUAGGCGGCCAACUAAGUCGGAUGUGAAAUCCCCAGGCUUAACCUGGGAACUGCAUCCGAUACUGGAUGGCUUGAAUUCGGGAGAGGGAUGCAGAAUUCCAGGUGUAGCGGUGAAAUGCGUAGAUAUCUGGAGGAACACCGGUGGCGAAGGCGGCGUCCUGGACCAACACUGACACUGAGGAGCGAAAGCCAGGGGAGCAAACGGG